rnacentral:rRNA from 1 species
GACGAACGCUGGCGGCGUGCUUAACACAUGCAAGUCGAACGGAAAGGCUCCUGCUUGCAGGGGUACUCGAGUGGCGAACGGGUGAGUAACACGUGGGUGAUCUGCCUUGUACUCUGGGAUAAGCUUGGGAAACUGGGUCUAAUACCGGAUAAUAACUGCCUUUAGUGUGGUGGUUGGAAAGUUUUUUCGGUGCAAGAUGAGCUCGCGGCCUAUCAGCUUGUUGGUGGGGUAAUGGCCUACCAAGGCGUCGACGGGUAGCCGGCCUGAGAGGGUGUACGGCCACAUUGGGACUGAGAUACGGCCCAGACUCCUACGGGAGGCAGCAGUGGGGAAGAUUGCACAAUGGGCGGAAGCCUGAUGCAGCGACGCCGCGUGGGGGAUGACGGCCUUCGGGUUGUAAACUCCUUUCGACAGGGACGAAGCUUUUUGUGACGGUACCUGUAUAAGAAGCACCGGCUAACUACGUG